CACGUAGGGCGCAAGCGUUGUCCGGAAUUAUUGGGCGUAAAGAGCUCGUAGGCGGUCUGUUGCGUCCGCUGUGAAAACUCGGGGCUUAACCCCGAGCCUGCAGUGGAUACGGGCAGACUAGAGGUAGGUAGGGGAGAAUGGAAUUCCCGGUGUAGCGGUGAAAUGCGCAGAUAUCGGGAGGAACACCGGUGGCGAAGGCGGUUCUCUGGGCCUUACCUGACGCUGAGAAGCGAAAGCAUGGGGAGCGAACAGG
rnacentral:rRNA from 1 species